rnacentral:snRNA from 1 species
UGGAAACUACCAUCUCCAA